GGCCCUUCGGGGUACUCGAGCGGCGAACGGGCGAGUAACACGUGAGCAAUCUGCCCUUAGCUUCGGGAUAGCUCCGGGAAACCGGAAUUAAUACCGGAUAUGACUGCGGCUGACAUCAGCCACGGUGGAAAGUUUUUCGGCUAGGGAUGAGCUCGCGGCCUAUCAGCUAGUUGGUGGGGUAACGGCCUACCAAGGCGACGACGGGUAGCCGGCCUGAGAGGGCGACCGGCCACACUGGGACUGAGACACGGCCCAGACUCCUACGGGAGGCAGCAGUGGGGAAUAUUGCGCAAUGGGCGAAAGCCUGACGCAGCGACGCCGCGUGGGGGAUGAAGGCCUUCGGGUUGUAAACCCCUUUCAGCAGGGACGAAGCGAAAGUGACGGUACCUGCAGAAGAAGCGCCGGCUAACUACGUGCCAGCAGCCGCGGUAACACGUAGGGCGCAAGCGUUGUCCGGAAUUAUUGGGCGUAAAGAGCUCGUAGGCGGUCUGCCACGUCCGCUGUGAAAACCUAGGGCUUAACCCUGGGCUUGCAGUAGAUACGGGCAGACUAGAGGUAGGUAGGGGAGAAUGGAAUUCCCGGUGUAGCGGUGA
rnacentral:rRNA from 1 species